CUGAAGGUUGAGAGUUCAACACAUGAACUUGGGGGAGCAACACACUUCAACCCAGAACGAGGGGCAAAGGUCAAUACUCACACCGAAACCUCCCAAACUCCUUCUCUUGUAUUGACUUUUUUUGUGGUUGUCUCUAGUUACACCUCCAUCAUUACAUAUGAAAUGUAUUAAAAGUAGCAUAUCUGAAGCUCCAGGAAAGCUGCCAAAGAAGAAGAGAAAAUUUGACAGAGGAGUACUGAACUUCGAUGAUUUCAAGUAUUAGAAAGCAUCCUGGCCGGGACAUCAAAACAGCACAGAACUGUUCUCGGCAGGACAAUUGCUGGUAUUUAGUAGACUCUGGAUUUGCUCAUCUCAGCAGAUGGUUUUCCACGGCCACAGUCCACAGAAGGCUGUCUGGACAUCUCAUGCUGAAACCAAGUGUGGGCAGUAUUACAGCGGGGAGGCAGGGCCACAGAAAGUGGUGGCGAGAGAAAAACCUGCAGAGUAAACACUGCCUGAAGAGGUCACGUCAGAGAACUUCAGAAUCUAGAUCUGGAAAGAACCUUCCCGUCUGCUGAGCUCCAACCUGCCUGGUCCUCAGUGUGCGGUACCUCGCCCAAGUUCACAGAAGGUAAAGCAGGAAAUACCCACGGACUCUUCCUAUCCAAGGACGUUCAGAUUCCUGGGUUUGGUAGAGAGACACUGGCCUUGAAUGCAGGAGUCUUGCAUUCCAGCCUCAGCUCUGCUGCUGUGUGACCUGGGAUAAAUCACAACUGCGUGGGACAUCAUGUGCGUCUGUAUUAGAGGUGGCAGCACCUACUUCAUGGGGUUGCUGUAGGGAUUAAACGAGACAACAUACGUAACAGAACUGUGUAAACACAAAAUGAUAUUAAAUGAAAUGCAUUAAGCAAUAA
rnacentral:lncRNA from 1 species